rnacentral:rRNA from 1 species
UGGGGAAUUUUGGACAAUGGGCGAAAGCCUGAUCCAGCAAUGCCGCGUGUGUGAAGAAGGCCUUCGGGUUGUAAAGCACUUUUGUCCGGAAAGAAAUGGCUCUGGUUAAUACCUGGGGUCGAUGACGGUACCGGAAGAAUAAGGACCGGCUAACUACGUGCCAGCAGCCGCGUUAAUACGUAGGGUCCAAGCGUUAAUCGGAAUUACUGGGCGUAAAGCGUGCGCAGGCGGUUGUGCAAGACCGAUGUGAAAUCCCCGAGCUUAACUUGGGAAUUGCAUUGGUGACUGCACGGCUAGAGUGUGUCAGAGGGGGGUAGAAUUCCACGUGUAGCAGUGAAAUGCGUAGAGAUGUGGAGGAAUACCGAUGGCGAAGGCAGCCCCCUGGGAUAACACUGACGCUCAUGCACGAAAGCGUGGGGAGCAAACAGG